CAUCAAAGAUUUUUGAAGAUAAUUUCUCUAUAACAAUAUUAGUGGAAAAUUAGGGUUUCAUAGAAAUGAUGAGAACAACAACAGGGUCAUUUUAUUUAAUAAAGAUUAUAACCAACCAUUGUCAUCCAUGUCAAAAUAGCUUGUAAAUUAGCUAUAAAAUUAGCCAAGCUGCCAGAUGUAACCAACUGAGCCAUUUUGUCAUAUCUUUCACAAACUGGUUCACAGCAAACGGUUCAGAGAAAAAUACCAACUAGUAUUAGUAUUAUUUAGUUUACUACAUUUUGGAAAUUGUCUAUCUUUGCCAUGAGCUCGUUUGCCCUGUGUUUUAGAAAUUCUUUAUAGGGAGAUCCAUAUAAGGAUAUGGAUUUAGAAAUGUGAUAGGAGCUUAUGGGGAAGACACAGACGGGGAAUUUAACAUUCUAUCAAUAAAGGUAUUAGUGGAGAGAUGGGGAAAUGGAAAAAAGGGUGGUUUGGGUGUUAGAAAGGCAUACAUAUGAAAAGACCUAGUGUCUGUUAAGACAUAAAUGAGGGCAUUAUGAAAGAAGCACAAGUGGAUGGGAAAUGGGGUAAAAUGCAGGACAUAACAGAUAAGUGUGAGGGAGACACAUGUCAAAGAAGGGAGGAUACACAAGCGAGAUGUUAAUACAUGUGGUAGGAGACAUGGAAAAAAGCACAAGUACAAAGGAAAAGUAUAUCGGUAAUGAGGAUAUAAAUAUCAGACAGAAAUGGGUGAAAGAGUGAGGUUAAAAUGGAGAGUGAGAUACAAAUGGAGAAAAGAUGGUGAGGGGAUUAUACUUGUAAUCAAAAUGGCAACAUAGACACAAAACAUUAAGAAGGACAAAAAUGCUCUCAAAUUGGCAUGACAUCUAUAAAACACUCUUCAUGGAAAACUUAUCUUUUGACACAUUCUUCCUUUCCUUAUUUCCCUUUCUUCCUUCCCUUUCCUCUCUCUUGUCUUUCCUUCCAUCUCUCUUUACUUCCUUUUUCUCUCUCACUUUCUCAACUGUUACAUCGCGUCCUUAUCCAGAGCACUUUACAUAGAUCAACAAAUGACAAAAUAAUUGGUAAAGCCCUUUUUGAUACAGUCAUUGAAUUGUAAUGUAAUCGGGUAUAGUUCCUACAGGACACACCAUUAUGAAGUGAAAAAACAUUCAAGUAAAUAAUUUAGCACAAGAGAACAACAAAGUUACAUAGAACAAAGUGUAGAACAAAGUUACAUUUAACUAAGGUAUAGUAAUCAUAAUAUUGUAUUUUUCCUUGACAACACUGUAGUUAAUUCCACCCAAUGUUUCAACCCUAAAUACCUCAUUCUAAAGGACUACCCUAUCUCUAUAUCCCAAACCCAACAUGAGUUUACCUUAGAAGUGAACAGUUUUCAGUGGCAAUUUAUUGACACUGCACUCGUAUGCCCAUUUUUAUUAUAACAUUGACCUAUAUAACGUAAAUAUGUAAAACAUUUAAUUUCCCGCACCAAUACUUUAAAUGUAAACGGAAGGGUUAUACACUUAUUAUCACUGAGAAGUCAGUGCGAUUCACUUUCAGCGAUCUAGACAUUCAUAUUGCAAUAGUCAUUCAACUGUGCAGUCAAUGCAGCAUGUUGAACUGCAAGAUUACCACCAAUAAGCUGCUUGGGUGGUGAUAAGAUCAGUUGGCCAAAACUUAAUUUCUGAAUUUUAUCUGCAGUUAGUUUAAGUCUGUAAAUUGUUUUCCAAUACUUGACUAUACAACUGACUUGAACCGACUUCGAAACAAAGCAUUCUAACCAACUUUAUGUCAGUUGAAAAAUCUGACUUUGGUAGUUCCCUUUUUAUUUGAGUUCCUUAAAGGACCACUCUAGGCACCCAGACCACUUCAGCUUAAUGAAGUGGUCUGGGUGCCUGGUCCAGCUAGGGUUAACCCAUUUUUUUAUAAACAUAGCAGUUUCAGAGAAACUAUGUUUAUCAAUGGGCUAAGCCUUCCCCCAUUCCCUCUAGCGGCUGUCUCAUUGACAGCCACUAGAGGCGCUUGCGUGCUUCUCACUGCGAUUUUCACAGUGAGAGCACGCAAGCGUCCAUAGGAAAGCAUUGAUAAUGCUUUCCUAUGCGACCGGCUGAAUGCGCGCGCAGCUCUUGCCGCACGUGCGCAUUCAGCCGACGGGGAGGAGAGGAGGAGGAGAGCUCCCCGCCCAGCGCAGG
rnacentral:lncRNA from 1 species